rnacentral:rRNA from 1 species
CUACGGGCGGCAGCAGUGAGGAAUUUUGCGCAAUGGGGGAAACCCUGACGCAGCAACGCCGCGUGAGUGAAGAUGGCUUUCGGGUCGUAAAGCUCUGUCAAGUGGGAAAAAAGCCUUUUGAUCAAUAGUCAAGAGGUUUGAUGGUACUACUAGAGGAAGCACCGGCUAACUCCGUGCCAGCAGCCGCGGUAAGACGGAGGGUGCAAGCGUUGUUCGGAAUUACUGGGCGUAAAGAGCGUGUAGGCGGUAUGGUAAGUCAGAUGUGAAAGCCCUGGGCUUAACCCAGGAAGUGCAUUUGAUACUGCCAUUCUUGAGUAUGGGAGAGGAGAGUGGAAUUCCCAGUGUAGAGGUGAAAUUCGUAGAUAUUGGGAGGAACACCCGUGGCGAAGGCGACUCUCUGGACCAAUACUGACGCUGAGACGCGAAAGCGUGGGGAGCAAACAGGAUUAGAUACCCGCGUAGUC